UACGUAGGGGGCUAGCGUUGUCCGGAAUCAUUGGGCGUAAAGCGCGUGUAGGCGGUCCGGUAAGUCCGCUGUGAAAGUCGGGGGCUCAACCCUCGGAUGCCGGUGGAUACUGUCGGGCUUGAGUACGGAAGAGGAGUGUGGAAUUCCUGGUGUAGCGGUGAAAUGCGCAGAUAUCAGGAGGAACACCAAUGGCGAAGGCAGCACUCUGGGACGGUACUGACGCUGAGACGCGAAAGCGUGGGGAGCAAACAGG
rnacentral:rRNA from 1 species